rnacentral:rRNA from 1 species
GCAACGCGAAGAACCUUACCAGGUCUUGACAUCCCGAUGCCCGCUCUAGAGAUAGAGUUUUACUUCGGUACAUCGGUGACAGGUGGUGCAUGGUUGUCGUCAGCUCGUGUCGUGAGAUGUUGGGUUAAGUCCCGCAACGAGCGCAACCCCUAUUGUUAGUUGCCAUCAUUAAGUUGGGCACUCUAGCGAGACUGCCGGUAAUAAACCGGAGGAAGGUGGGGAUGACGU